rnacentral:lncRNA from 1 species
GGAAAUUUUUAAGUAUCUUCUGUGAACGUGGAGCAAUGCAGACAUGUUGGCCAAGCUGAUCAUUUUCGUGGUGGAUUUCACACUUGUUUUGGCCAUUUUUGCUAUCCUCUAUGCUGUUUACUUAAUAGCAACUGCAGGUAUUUUCAUCCUGGCCGUUUUCUAUAUUGUCAAAAGGAUGAACAAAAAUUGUGACUCCAGCAAGGACAUCUGGGUGCUGGAUUCCAGCACUGCUACCAGGAAACCAUUUGCCAGCAACAUAGGGGGAGUCAGGUCCAGGAUGCUCCCUGUCCAUCUUCCAGCAGCAAGAGGAGAGGCUUUCUUGCCCGAGAAGUGUGGUUCUGUCUUCUAGAAAGCAAGGAGCUAUCUGUGGUGGAGGAGGCACAUAGGAAGACCUGCCCACUCAACCAAGAGGUAUCUUUUUUUAAAUAAUUUUUUAAUGUUUGUUUAUUUUUGAGAGAGAGAGAGAGACAGGAGAGAGACAGAUUGUGAGCUGGAGAGAGGCAGAGAGAGAGGGAGACAGAAUCGGAUGCAGACUCCAGGUCCUGAGCUGUCAGCAGAGAGCCCGAUGCAGGGCUUGAACUCAUAAACCGAAAGAUCAUGACCUGAGUUGAAGUCAAAUGCUUAACAGACUCAGCCACCCAGGCUCCCCCAAGAGGUAUCUUUUUAAAUACAUCCUGUCCCCCAAAUUAUAUAAGCUGCUGGUUCCAUUAAUUCUGGGUUCACCACCACUGAAUGAUACAUUUUAUUAAAUAAAAGAAACAUGGUGGCUCAGUGGGUUAAGCAUCUGACUUCAGCUCAGGUCAUGAUCUCAUGGUUAAUGAAUUCGAGUUCCACUUCGGUGAGCCCCACUUCUGGGGAGCAUGAGCCCCACUUGGGGUAAAACAUGAGCCCUGCUUUUCAGGUGAGCUCUCUCUCUCUCUAUCUCUACCCCUCAUGGGAUUAUCUCUCUCUCCCUCUCUCUGUCCCUCACUCACUUGUGCCCUCUUUCUGAAAAGAAAAGAAAAGAAAAGAAAAGAAAAGAAAAGAAAAGAAAAGAAAAGAAAAGAAAAGAAAAGUGAAACUUGCGGGGGCUCCCGAGUGGCUCAGUUGGUUGAAUGACUAACUCUUCAUCUCAACUCAGGUCAUGAUCUCACAGUUUGAGAUCAAGCCCCGUGUGGGGCUCUGCACUGACAGUGUGGAGUCUGCUUGGGAUUCUCUCUCUCCCUCUCUCUCUCUCUCUGCCCCUUCCCUGCUCAUGCUCCCUCCUCUCUCUUUCAGAAUAAAUAAAUGCAAAAAAAAAAAGAAACUUAUGUAUCACAUUAUAUCUUAUUCCUUAAUGAAUUUGGAUCAACCAGUAUAUUUUCUUCUGCAUGAGGUUAUUUUUAAGAUGAGCAUGUGCAACAUUCAUUUUAAUUAUCCCUUCCGUGAAUGAGCUCAUACAAGCAACAUGCAUGUUCAGGGUGCAAAACAGAAAGCAAAUGCUUCUCAUCACUGCCCCCAUUUUCAAAAAUGGAGUUGGCAGCCUCCAUAAGGACUAUAAACCAUUUUUGUUUUCAACUGCAAGUCUAAUUUACCCAGUAAAUCAGGGAAUCCUACCUGUGCUAUUUUCUCUCCCAAGCAUUGGUUAGCCACAGGUCACAAGUAGUUGAAACUUUUGUUUUUGUUCUUCAGUUCUUGGUAGAAAAGGGAGUUGGAGAAAAUGGCUGUUCUUUCUAUCUAUGGGUUCUUUCCUUGACUCCAAGUGGUUGCCCUCAAGUGGACAAUGCAUUUUCAAAAUGGUCCUUGGAGCAAAAGCAGUAUUUGAAACAUGUGAGAUGACAUACAGGAGGCUUCCUCUCUUUUAGGUUGGUGUUCUGGAACACCAGCGAUUUUAAGGGGAAAAAUUCAUGCUGGUAUAAGAAUAAUGCUCCAAACCCUGAAACUGGACUCCUUUGGAAUUACUGGGUGGCUUAUUCUGUUUCACCGCUUUGGUCCAGUGGAAAGAGGGGGAUCCGUUUUGUCAUGGUUUUUGUCAGAUAAAUGGCCAACAGAGAGUCUGUUUGGGUGUUUAUGGUAUAAAUCCAGAUAAUCCAUGGCAUAACUGUAUUUUCUCAGGAGCAAUAUACAGCUAGUUUGCAGAAGACUGUGGUAAAUUGACACAAUGUUAGCCAUUGUGAUUACAGCUUCUUAACCAAGCCCUUGUCCUCAUAUUUCAUCUCCAUUGCCUUGUGGACUUUUGGCAUCUAAUUCUAUUUCUUCCUGACAAGCUGAAAAAAAUCACUUUAGUCUCUAUGUAAGAUAAAUGAACUCCUUACCAAAAAAAGUAGAAUUUUACUCAAUAAGGAAAAAUAAUGAGCUUAGUCCCAUGAACAACAAAUACUUAAACUUUUAGUGGAUCUUAAGCAUUCUUGCCACACACACACACAAAACAGAAGGAAAAUAUGUGAGGUGAUGUGUUAACCAGCUCGAGUGUGGUGAUUACUCCAAGAUGUGUACAUAUACCAAAAUAUCAAGUUAUGUAUCUUAAAUAUAGACUAUAUAUUUAAUAUUGUAGGUUAUUAUAUUAUAAAUAUAUGCCAUAUAUAAAACAUCAAGCUGUACACAUUAAAUAUAUACAAUUCCUUAUCAAUAAAGUGAAAAAAAGGAAUAGGAAAAAAAUUACAAAUAAAUGCAGCGAGAAAGAAAAAAAUAUACUUUUAGAAAACAACGAAUUAACUUUAGUUUAAUAAUGUUACCCAUGUUUCAGUCAUGGUGUUGGUUCAAGAGUAUAGUAACUGCUCCACUGAAGAAACUGAUAAAUUUUGUUGAAUGAGUUAAGGGAUUUAAAAAUAAUCCUCCAUUACAUAGUUCCCAGUUUUACAACAAAGUGCAGUGUGGGUAACCUAGCUGGUGGGAUGUGGGGUAUCCAACCAGACCACACUUUAAACUAUUGCCCCUGACUGCUGACCACCUGCAUUCCAUUUAUAAUCACAGAGGCGUUAUUUUGUGAAAUAGUUUUUCAAUUCUAAGAAAACUCAACCAUCAUGAAAUAUCACAAAAGAGGUACACAGAGUAUGCACGUAUUUGUCUUCAAGUCUUAGUUCAGUCAGCAACUUCUCUAGAAGGCACAGAAGGAUGAGAACAUGGUUAGGUCAACUUUGAUUCAGAAGAUGCAGAAGAACAGGUCCUGAAUACGAGGCAUUGCCUGAAGUCAGGGAUCCUAGACAAGAACUGAGGGGCAGGGAUGAGGGAGAGGAGCAUGAAGAAGGGGGGGAAAGACCAUGAUAUGUGAACAUGGGGUGUGAUUAAACUGAAGGACACCAAGGCGAGCAUAAAACGUUGCCUUGUAUAGCUUUUGGAUACCUCAAGAAACUUCUACACUCAACUGUGCUAGCAUUCAGGGGUAAUGAGCCACAGAUGUACCCCAGCAAGGAUUUCUUACAUGGUCUUUGCCAUUUUUACCAGAGUUCUCUCAUUUUCUGUGUGUUCCUGAUGUAAAGGAUUAGGUCAAUGAUAAUGAUCUGAUAAGAAAAGAAACCAAAAGUGCUUUACAUUUUGAAGAUCUUGAAUAUCUUGAGCCUCCACUGCACACCUGUCUUACAGGUGCUUUCAGAGAAUUGCUGGCCCUGCAGGGUGUUGGGUUUGCAUGCCUUUCCAGAUUUGUGCAGCUCCCUUGAGGUGCUUUUUGCAUCCAGUGCUGUGACUAUCCAUUAGCCUCUAUGUGGGUUCCAGAAAAUUAGCUUUAGUUUAGCUGAAUUCUAAAUGCUAUUAAGUGAGAAUUCAUUCCUAAGACCUAUUAUUUACCAACGAUUCAACUAGGGCUCCUUUUAGCUUUAUUUUAUAGACUGUAGCAGCUCAGUCUUAAAAUUCAAAAGGACCUUGAAAGUCUUUGGAUACACUUCUCAGCCAAUUAAGAAAUACAUUCUACAAAAUCCCUGGAAGAUGGUUGUUCAGGUCUGCUUAAACAUUUUUCAUGAGAAGCAUAAGACAGCCUGUUGUUAAGAAGUGCUUUAUAUGGGGCGCCUGGGUGGCGCAGUCGGUUAAGCGUCCGACUUCAGCCAGGUCACGAUCUCGCGGUCCGUGAGUUCGAGCCCCGCAUCAGGCUCUGGGCUGAUGGCUCAGAGCCUGGAGCCUGUUUCCGAUUCUGUGUCUCCCUCUCUCUCUGCCCCUCCCCCGUUCAUGCUCUGUCUCUCUCUGUCCCAAAAAUAAAGAAACGUUGAAAAAAAAAAAAAAAAAAGAAGUGCUUUAUAACAUCCAGUAGAAAUCUGAGCCCCCACAACUGCCAUCUCUUUGUCCUAUUUUUGCUCAAUAAGCAGUCUAGAAAAUAGUUGACUAAGUACAAUGACUUCACUGGAACCACAAAUCCUAAGAAGAAAAAGGAGCUUCCCUCCUUAUUUUCUACUUGCUACUCAAACCAUGGAACAAUGUUGCCCUUUGCAGUGCAAAUAGCCCCAUUUAAAACCAUAACUUGUAAAAUAAAUCUAGGAUGUAUUGUGUACUUUAAUAGAGGAGUCUUAAUUUGUCUUUUCUGACUUCUUGUACAUAUUUGUUAAUCAAGAAUUUUGAAAUUCAUUUCUUCGAAGCUUCCUGAAGUCUGGGAGAGUUGCCAAUUUGCACUGCAGAGCAGCAUUUUAUUAGUGCAUUCAUAACUAUUCAAAUGUAAUUCUAAUGCAUUGACCCAAUUUCACAGCACAUCAAAAAUUUAAUUCAACCCCAGAUGACUCUCCAGAUGUCCAAUAAUCUUCCAGUGGAUGUUGUUGUUUAGAAGGUCAGAUGAAUUUGAACGUUUAGGAAAAACUGGAAAAUUUGUCAAUACAAGUUAUUUGUAUAUGAAUUCAGAAACAGCCACACUUCAAGUAUGCUAAUCACUACAGAAUGAAGCCCCCUUUAUCAAAGGUAGCUGAAAGUGGAGAAUUGGGACAGGGUCCAGUCAUCCCAUUUCUGGUGAUACUGGGACCAGCUAAAACCUAUCUAGGGCUGGGAAAGGGAAGUCCCCAUGGCCAGGAUCCCUAUGGUUUUGUUGCUAGGCUGGGGGCAGUUAGAAUGCUAGAAGCCAAAGAUUUUCUGGCUUUGUGGAUGGCUGAGGGAAAGCAAGCUUUCACAACCCGCAAGAGUGCUCAAGUUUUGCAAUGCAUUCCUGGAAUGCAUCAACUCUUUUUUGUUUCUGCUUUUGGUGACAUUGCUAACAUUAUAUAAGUUUUCGAAUCUGGGAUUCCAAUUAGGAUCUUGACCACACUCGUUAUUGGCAAUUUGUAUCAAGUCGCUGCCCCUCUAGGCCUCUGUUCCCCUAUCUGAAAAGAAGGAAAUGUGAACCCAAUGACUUGGAAGGCUCUUUCAGGUCUAAAAUACUGUAAACUCUAGAGAAUAACAUGAGUUAUAAAUAUGAAAUGUGGUCAACCAAGAUGGCAACUUACAUAGAGGAUCUCUCAGCAUCUCUCAAAAUGCCUUUCUAAUAUCUGGGGGAUUCAUGAGAUGUGAGAGCUCCCAAGGGACAAGGUGACAAUUUUCAAGAGCAUUUAUAGAACUGAGGGAAAAACUCUUGGAAUAAGUUUUCUUAGAGACCCAAAAUGUAUCCUGAUGUUCCUAUUGCACCACUUGCUUGUAAGUAAAGGGUGACAUCAAAUGCACAUCUGCAUCCCACAGACAUCAAUUAUCCCACUAGUUCCGACAGGCUGUCCAGACUUCUAAACCUGUGCAUUCUUGUUGUUACCUCUAAGCAAGGCAUCUCUUUUGUGUUCUAUAUUGAUCAUGUACAUUACUUUUCCUUCAGGAUCUCAAUUUGUUCAUUCACAAAAUAAAUACAUGGUAUAAAUAAUACUAAUCGCUACUCCUGGGCUAAUAUUAUUAUUUUAAGGGUUUAUUGAAUAGAUGCUUAUUGGUACUCACUGUACUAGACAGUUUGGCAAAACAAAGACAUAGAAUACAUAACCUUUGACUUCAAAUGGGUUCCUAUUAUGUUUCAAUUUGAGGGAAUCUAUGAACUUGACAUGAAUUAGAAAACUCAUGCAAUCAACUACUUAAAAAAUUUUUAAUACUUUUUUAAAAGUUAAAGUUUCAAUAAAAGCUCCAAGUUCGCCAAUUUUAAUUUCUUCACUUUUAGUAGCCUGUGUUUUGAAUAAGCAAAGUAAUGCAGGUUAUCCAGUUGAUUUGCAUUGUAAAUCAUCUUUGUGCCUUAGAAGACAGGCUUUGCUAAAAGUAAAUGGAUUGAUUAGCAACAAUUUCUUGAAUAUGGUGCCAAAAGCACAGACAAAAAAUUAAACAUAGACAAACUGGAGUACAUAAAAAUUUAGAAACUUCUGUGCAUCAAAGAACACAAACAACAAAUUGAAAAAGCAACCCAAGAGAUGGGAGAAGAUAUUUGCAAAUUAUGUACCUGAUAAAAGGUUAAUACCCAAAAUAUAUAAAGAACUUUUACAACUCAACACCACCAGCAAAACAACCUAAUGAUAAAACGAACAAAGGACUUGAGUAGACAUUUCUCUAGAGAAGAUAUACAUAUGGUCAAUAAGCACAUGAAAAGAUGCUCAAUCUCACUAAUUAUUAGGCAAAUGCAUAUCAAAGCUACAGUGAGAUACCACCUCACACUCAUUGGAAUCGCUACUAUUAAAAACCAGAAAAUAACAAGUGUUAGUAGAGGUGUGGAGAAAUCAGACCCCUUGUACACUGUGGAUGGGAAUGUAAAAUGGUGUGGCCACUAUAGAAAACAGCAUGAUAGUUCCUCACAAAAGCAAAAAUCGAAUUACUGUAUGAUCCAGCAAUUCAACUUCUGGGUAUUAUACCCCCCAAAAUUGAAAGCAGGGCCUCAGAGAGAUAUCCAUACACCCAUGCUCCUGUCACUAAUGAACAUGAGGUCUGCCCCAUUGAUUGACUAGCUCCUCAUGAUGAAUUCAGUGCUGGUAGUCCCCACCAUGGAAAUUCUACAAAUAAGUACUGUACAUUCUUAGGUAAAUUGAAAAUGAUUCAUAGCAGGUUUCAGCAGCAUUUAUUAGAUUUGCUUUCAGUCUUAAACGAGAUAAGUCAAUAAUUCACUUGGUGCUCAGAUGUAGUUAAUUGUUAGGAAGGCUAUUCAAAUACUUUAGAGAAAAUAUAAUUAACUCAAUUAACUUAAUUAACUGAAGGCCUCAUUUGAAGGCUCCUAUCGAUAAAGACCAAGAGGGGACAACAGAGAACAAUUGCAGGAUAUUUACUCUGUGAUUGUUCUUAUUCAAGACACUCAAAUGAGGUGACAAUCGUAUUUCCAGAGGUUCAGGUUCAUGAUUUCCUUUGGGAAUUAAGCCAUCUGCUGCAAAUGUCCACCUCUGAGUUAUCCACAUAGCAGUCCAGCCCAUUCCUCAUAUUGCCUCAUGUAUGCUAAGAGUCUUGGCACCAAACUGAAAUCAUGUUUUUCCUCUUCUGGGUGAGGAGCUAUAGGAAUAAACGCCAUUUGAAGUCUUUGUUUACACAUUGCUGCCAGAGUAAUCUUGGUAAAGGAUAAUGUGGGUACUUCUUUUUAUGCUUGAAGACUUGAUAUAGCACCUACUCACCUGAACGAGAGUAAUGUGAAUAUCAUACUCUAGUAAUCGUAGCCUUCUAACCACUCAGCACCAAUUAUUCCACUGCAGGUUGGCUGAGACUCAGCUGAUGUGGGCUGUACAUGGCUGGGCUGGGCUGUAAGCUGUUACAGGUUGGGUCCAUAUCUGGUCCACAGGUCCCUCAUUCUCCUUGGACUGGAUGCUACUUGAAGCAUGAUCAUCUCAAGAAGGACAGAGGGACACUUGUGGACACUAAGGAGUAGGCUGGAGUUGGCACACUGUCACUUUGAAUCAUAUUCCUUUGGCCUAAGAAUGUCACAUGACAUCAGUGGGACAAGGAGGUACCCUCCUUCUUCCAUGGGGGUCAUGAGAGGGAGGAGUAUUUGCUGAAUAAUUGAAUAGACCCAUGAGAAUAACAUUUUUAUAAUCAAUAGCAUUAUCAAUAUUAUUAAUUGGUCCUUAUUUGCUAUGAAACAAAAUGCAGAUUUAACAUUACCAAAGCGAAGUUUAAUAUAGGAGUUGAAAUCCAUGUGCUUUACUUUUUGAGAUUUUCCAUGAUUCCAAUUAGAAAUAAAUUGGGUCUAUUUGCUAGAAAGAAGUGCUUAGAAGCUGAGUCUGCUCCUUCUGUGGCAGUUUCUCAAGGCUGGAAAUUAUUGCAUUGUGUGUGCUCUGAACUCCUUCCUCAGCCUCCAUCACCACUGCUGAUGGCUCAGCUCCCCCGCAAGGGUACAUAGAUUGGAUCAAAGGUCAGUGCUGUCUUGGUAGAACAGGGGCUUUGGGGCAGGCAACAUCCUAGGUCUACCAUAGAAUGGCUCUGAACUUGGGCACGUCAUGUAAACUCACAAGUCUACAGUUUAUUUAGUAAAAUUUGCCCAAACUGACAAAUAGGUUGCUGUAUUGAUUGAAUGAGACAAAAUAUGGAAAUAUAUUUCAAAAUAUUAACCAGAAAAUACAGAGACUACAAUCUCUGUGGGUUUUAGUUCUCUUCCACUGUGUUUAUUUACUUAAUUUCUCUUAAUAGUCAAGAGUCACUGAGAGCAGAACAAAAUUUUUCUCCUAUGGAUCAAUAGUUAAAUAGCAUUCUUAUAUUAAUUAAUUAUUCUUAGAGAUCACUGACAGAAAUUGAUUAUAAUAAAAAUGACCAAUUGGUGAAUUAUUUAAAUUUGGUUUUAAUAAUAUGGGUUACCACACUUGUUCCAAAAUUUCCAUUUCAGAAUGUCACCUAACAGAUAUUGACCACAAAGGAGAUAACUUAUUGAAGCAAGUGAUUUUUCUCAUUUUGUUAAAAAUGAUAAUUAUUCCAAUAUAUAACUGAAGUCUUAUUAAUAUUUAAUCAAGUAGCACUCUUACAGUAUUUAAGAAUUGUCAGGGGGCGCCUGGGUGGCGCAGUCGGUUAGGCGUCCGACUUCAGCCAGGUCACGAUCUCGCGGUCCGUGAGUUCGAGCCCCGCGUCGGGCUCUGGGCUGAUGGCUCAGAGCCUGGAGCCUGUUUCCGAUUCUGUGUCUCCCUCUCUCUCUGCCCCUCCCCCGUUCAUGCUCUGUCUCUCUCUGUCCCAAAAAUAAAUAAAAAAUCGUUAAAAAAAAAUUAAAAAAAAAAAGAAUUGUCAGAAUUCUGGGGCAUCUGGGUGGCUCAGGCGGUUAAGCAUUCUCAUGGUCUGUGAGUUUGAACCCUGCAUCAGGCUCUGUGCUGACAGCUCAGAGCCUGGAGCCUGCUUCAGACUCUGUCUCCCUCUCUCUGUGCUCCUUCCCCGCUCAUACAUACACUCUCUCUCCCUCUCUCUCUCUCUUUCAAAAAUAAACAAACAUUUUAAAACAUGAAGAAUGUCAGAAUUCCUCAUUUCACUUUACAUGUGGUUUGUUGAAUAAGAAAAUGUAUGACUAAUUCAUACAUUCUGAAUAUUUUUUUUCAUCCCCAGUUUUGAUUGCCAGCCGUUUUACCAAAUAACAUCUCUAUGAAACACUAUGAUUUCAAGUCACUGUUGGUCUUGACAAGUUCAAAAGGAGCAAAUAACAGAUUUCUUUUAGAACAAGAUUCAUGUAUCUGAGACAGGCCUGCCAAAUUUAAGACAAAUGAACUUGGGAAGGCUCUGUUCCUAAGGGUUAUUCACUUCACAGCCAGGUUUAUUUAACUGGAGACCACUUAUAGUAUGAAUGAGAAAAAUAAUAUAAACAUAACUUUUGUGGAAUCAUGGGAUAGUUCAUAUGCUCACACAUCUCAAAUAUGUAAAUUAAUCAUUCAAAAAAAAAACAAUUUCUGAAAAUGGACAUGACUAUAAAAAAAACCAUCAGUAGCUGUAUAAAAUCCAUCUUGCUUAUAUUAUACUAGUGUUUUAUAAACACCAGUAUAUGGAUAAAUAUUAAUUUUCUCCAAUUCCUUUACUCUGAAAUGUUAUAGAUGCUGGCAAAAUUCUUGAGUUGCCACAUAAACAUUUUUAAUACUCCCAGAGUCAGGAAAACCUCAAAACUCCAACAUGGAAAUGCUGACAUCAGGACAUAAGAUAACACAUUUUAAGAGCCUCCAAAUGAAUUGCUGCAUGAUAGGCUUCAUUCCAUUGUUUUAAAUGGGAUGAAAUAGUCUUCCUUUUAUUUUUUAUUUUUUUGUAUUCUUUUCAAUGAAGAAUGCUUAAGCUCCUAAGAAAGCCUGAGGUGCAUGAAAUAGAGGAUACGAAUGCAAAAAGAUUUUAAUUCUAAGUAGUAGCAUAUCAACCAAUGGCUAAUGUGUUUCAAUUCUUCAAUCUUUCAAUGCUCUUUGCACUGUGACUUUACAAUCCCCAUCAGAAGGUGCUGUGUCUGUUUUCCCAUUUCUUUAAUCUGGGCUGGUCUUUGGACUUGGUUCAGCUAAUAGAACAUGUUGGAAGGGAGCCAGUUCCUGGUCUAUAUGUUGCGGGACCUCCCCACUUCCCCACUCUCUCUUGGACUACUGCCAGCAUCUUGGGAAAAAGCCCCUGCCAGGCUGCUAGAGGAUGAGCUCAUGUAUACAGCAGGGCCCUAUUGUCCUAGCUAAGGCCAUACUAGACCCGCAUGUAGCCGGUGACUCCCAAACACGGUGAGAGGGCCCACCUGUCUCACCCACACCUGACCACAGAUGUGUAAGGGAAUCCUGUGAGACCAAAAGACCCACCUUGCUGGCUCAUACACCUUUGAGCAGUAAUACCUACUUACUAUUGUUUAGCUACUACUUUUGGGCUACCCUAACUCAUGUUGAGAAUGCAGUUUCUUAGAAGAUCUAAAUGUUUUUUGUUUUUGUUUUUAUUUUUGGUUUUUGUUUUAUUUACAGAAGCUGUUUUCAUGCUAGAUUUGCUCAAAUUCACAUUGGUUUUGUAGUUCUGAGGACAAUUCAUUGGCUUAAGGCUGUUUUCACAGAAACUCACGUGUGAUGUAAUUUUGUCCUGUAUCUUAGGCUACUAGAAGCCUGAUCAUGCCACUGGCAAAGAAGUAGCCAAAUAAUUUCAAAAGGUGAAGAAUCCAAAUCCCGUCCUUAAAAAAAAAAAAUUAAAAAUUAAAAAAAGAAAGUUUAGUAAAAUGAGUAUUAGUUUGUGGAUUUUUUUAAAUGUUCAUUUAUUUAUUUUGAGAGAGUGGGGGAGGGGCAGAACAAGAGGAGAGAGAGGAUCCCAAGCAGGAUCCACACUCGCAGCAUAGAGCCCGAUGUGGGGCUCAAACUCAUGAAACCAUAAGAUCAGGACCUGAGCCGAGAUCAAGAGUUGGAUGCUUAAUGGACUGAGCCAUACCAGUGCCUCUUAGUUUGUGGAUUUAAAGGCUGGUUCAGUUGAACUCACAGUAAUGAAAGCAGAAAUGAUGUCAAGAAGACAGAAUUAAGUCUGAAUAUAAUUUUUCUCUCAAAAUGUCAACAUGUAUAUUAAAAUGUAUACAAAAUUAUGACAGGUUGGGUAAACAGCAACAAAUACAUGUUGUAUAAAAUACAGAUAAUAUGAGGGAAUACAGAAAAGGCAAACUUUUAAGGGAUGAUCAAAUCCAGACCAAGAAAACAUUAAUAAAAAGUUCAAGGUGUGAUAUAAAUAUUAGAGAAGUUCAAAUUUAAAGAAGUCUGAAAGAGACAAAACUCAGAAGACAAAAAGUCUAAUCCACAGCAAUAAUUACCUAAGUAAUAAGAUAGCAGAAAAUGUUAAACAAUAAAUAUCAUAACAAAAAAAAGUGAACCAUGAACUGUAAGAAAUGCUAGGAAACAAAAUAGAUCAUAGAUAUGUAAUAAUAUGAAGUUCUGAACAAAAUAAUUGAAGCUAAAGUAAUAAAAUAUAGUAAAAAGCUAUAUCCUAAUAACAAGUAACAUACUUUAUUUCAAUCAGUCAUAUUUACAAAAAAAUUUUGUAUGAAUUAGAAUGAAAAGUAGAAAUAAUAUUAGACUAUGCUCAGGAUGUGCGCGCGCGCGCGCACACACACACACACACACACACACACAAAAUAAAACUAAUAAUAACCAAAAUUAAAGAGAAAAGCUGCAACUACCUACAAUCUUAAAAUUUUUCUUUAGGAAAACAUCUGGGAGCAAAGAAGUAAUCAAUUGAAAUUGCAGAGUAUUUCCAAGGUUAUUAUAAUUGAAACACUGAACACUGAAACUUAAAAGCUGAGAAAAAUACAUAGCCUUACAUAACUAUGUAACUAACAAGAAAGAAUAAAAACAAAAGAAUCAACUAUGGAAGGUCCAAAGUUAGAAAGAUUAACAACAUAAACUUAAGGAAAAAAAUAACAAAGAUACAAAGAAACUUAAUGAACUAGAAAACAGAAAAAAGGUGGAUACAUAAAUUGAAAAGCAAGAGGGGCAAAAUAGUAAUACAACAGCUAACUUACUGCUGAACCUAAUUAACAAAGGAGAAAAUACAAUACUGACAUUUUAAAAUAGAGAAUCAAAAACACAGCGGUGCUUCAAACUACCCAAAAUAUUUUGCAAACUGCAUUAAACUAAAAAAAAUUUUCAUUUCAUCCCCUUUUGAGUCAUGACCAUAUACUAUUGUGUUUUUGCUUUCUAAUGUGAGAGAAUGCAUGCACGUGCCACUGGAGGAGAGGGGCAAUGGGGAGAGCAAGAGUAAAAAUCUUAAGCAGGCUACACACUCAGUGUGGAGCCCAAUGCCAGGCUCAAUCCCAUGACAGUGGGAUCAUGACCUGAGCUGAAAUCAAGAGUCAGAUGUUCAGCCAACUGAGCCACCCAUGCCCCUAUACUAUUGUUUUUAAUCUUCCGGGUUCCAUGGGUAGGGUGCACAGGUUGGAGGUCAAGAAGUCAGGUGUGAUAGGGGUUUUGGGGGAAUGGAGAUUGGAGGAAAAGGACCCAGAGACCAGAUUUUGGGCAAGGAUCAUCUGGAAGCAGGAAUGGGCUGAAGGAGGUGGUGGCUAGCUAGGUGUCAGCAGCCAAGCCAAGGCAGGGAAGGAGAGAGCCCAUAACAGAGAACGUGCAUGAAAAUGGGUCUAUCCAGCAAAGGGGCCUGCAGCAGGGUUAUUUUUGCCGCCUCAUCUUUCGGUAUACUUCCCCAAGUACCCCAUUGGCCAUCUCUCAGAAUCUUUCAUAGUUUUUUUUUUUUUUAAUUUAUUUUCUUUAUGUUUAUUUAUUUAUUUUGAGAGAGAGAGAGUGCACGUGUGCACAUAAGCAGCAGAGGGGCAGAGAGGAGAGACAGAAUCCUAAGCAGGCUCCACACCAUCAGCACAGAGCCUGAUGCAGGGCUCCAGCUCACAAACCCGGAGAUCAUGACCUGAGCUGAGAUCAAGAGUCAGACACUUAACUGACUGAGCCACCCAGGUGCCCCUCUCUCAUAGUUCUAAAAUGCACUACGUGUGUUUGUUUUCCAAUAUUUACUUAGACUUAUUUUGUAACAAAUAUCUGAAUGAGAUCUAUUUAACGUAAUUUUUAACAUGACUUGAUUUGGUACUCCUGGUUUUGGAAAUGCAUAUUACACGAAAAGGAGGGUCUAAACCUCUUUGUUCCCUCAGCAGGAAAUUAGAAGGGGCAGGUUCCUCUGAAAGAAGCAAUGUUUUGUUUCUUCCUUUGAAAGUGCAUUUUAACCAAGCCGAAUAGAUGCUAAGCAUCUGGUCAGUUAACUUGACUCUGAAGAGCAAUACACAAUUUGUAUCUUAUUUCCAGUUUCCCACAAUGAGUGUUAAUUCCUCCCGGCUUUUGCUUUUGCUAUUUUUCAUGAGCAGGACAUUUACUGAUUUCCUCUCUACUUGGUAAACUCCAAACCAGGUUCAAACUAAAAAACAAAGUUUUACAUUUAAACUAAAACACCUCCAUUUUAGUGAAAGUUUUCCUGGUAACCCCAGGCAAAAUAAACCCCUACCUCUGUGAGUUCAUAUUGUUUUGUUCUUAAGCAUGGCACUGAUUUUGUAUUGUAUUUACAGUCCUGUGUCUUACUAAGCCACAAGCUCUUCAAAGGUCCAGUGAAAGAACCUGCAGCCCCUCAAAUGUUAUAGAUUUUAACAUUAAGAUAAAUGCAUUUGAAAUUAAAUACUUAAAUUUUUUAUUUUUUUAAAUAUUUUUUAAAAAUAUUUAUUUAUUUUUAAGAGAGAGAGACAGAGUGUGAGCAGGGGAGGGGCAGAGAGAGAGGGAGACAGAGAAUCCAAAGCAGGCUCCAGGCUCUGAGCUGUCAGCACAGAGCCCAAUACGGGGCUCAAACCCACAAACCAUGAGAUCACAACCUGAGACAAAGUCGGAUGCUUAACUGACUGAACCACCCAGGCACCCCAAAUACUUAAGUAUAUGUACAUGUUCAAUUUUUCAUUGCAGUAAUGGUAAUGGUACCUGGCUUUGCUAGAUCUACUCCAAAUUUUAGUCAAUUAAAAGAGUUUUAAUGUUUCAAGGUGAUUAUCUUUCCAGAGGGAAUAAUUAUUCUCUAUUAUGAUUAUUAAUUAGAUUUUCCAAUUGGGUUUGAUUGAAGAGAGCCACAUUUUUAAAUAUGCCAGUUCACUCCUCAUUUUAUCUAGCACAUGAAUACAUAAGACUAUAUUUGGAUUCCAAAUAAGUAAUGAGAAAAGAGAAGCAUUCAGUGUUUGAAAAGAAUGAAUUACACCACCCCAAGGUGAUCUGUUUGUCUGCCAUGAUAACUAAUGCAGCUUUCCCUGAUAACCAAGAGGAAUAGGAAAUACCUUACAAAUACACCAUAUUUAAAAUAACCUAUAUUUUAAUAACCUACUCCGACAUGGAUUUUUAUUUUCUUGGAGAGCUAAUCAAUGAUUUUGCCCCCAAAUUGUGUCACAUGUUUGUUCAUUUAAUUUUUCAAUCAAUAGUCAUGCAUUAGAUACCUGUCACUUUAGCAGGCACUAUAUGCUAAAGACACAUAAAUAGCACAGGCAAAUGUUUUAAAAAGUAAAAUUAUGUUAUGCAUUCAUCACUGCCUUGAUCCCCAAGAAAAUGUAUAGCUUAUCCUUGAAGAAAAAAAUGCAAUUACAUUAUAUACUUGAAAUCGGUAUAAUGUUAUUUGUCAAUUAUAUUUCAAUUAAAAAAAGAGAGAGAAAGAAAAAUCCGCAGGUGCUCUGUAUAGGGUGUGGCUCUUAGCUUUCCCAACAGCUAAUAAUGUUUUAUUUUUUCAUUUUUUUUUUAACUUUGGGACAGUGAGACACAAUUUGCCUCAUAAUCAUAGCAAAUAUGGAAACAAUGCCAGCAAGCAUUUCCUAAGGAUGAGCAUGCAUGUUUUGUUGAACUCAUUGAUUCCAGUUGGGUAAGAGUGUUUCUUCAUGGUGAAAGAAAUAGGCUCUCCCAUUAGGGCCGAUGUCACAGAGCGGGUAGGGACAGGUCUCAGGCUCACAGUUAACAAGGCCUCAUACUUAGAUUCUGUGAUCCCCACCGGAGUUUACAUGUACAGUCACAAAAGGAAGCUAAAGGGUUAAAAGAUAAUACCCCAUGAUUUCUUGAAAGUAAAUAUUGAAAAUACACCCCAAUGUUUAACCCAAUUUCAUCAUUUAUUCAUUUCUGUUUUUUCCAGCAUGCUAGAUACCUUAAAAGGUAAAAAUGACACGAGGAUAAAAGGGAAUAUGGCAGUGGUACUGUAUUAGCAUUGUAUAGCGACAGGUGGUCACUAUACUUGCGAACAUAAUAUAACAUAUAGACUUGUUGAAUCACUAUGUUGUACACCUGAAAUUGCUGUAUGUUGUGUGUCAACUACACUUCAAUUUUUUAGAAAAAGUUUUCAUCAAAAAAAAAAAGUGAAAAUGUCCUAGAACUCUUUCAAUCUCCAAGAGACCCUACUUUUCAAUAAAAAUUAAGGUUUUGGCUAAAUUAUUUGAACCAUGAUUCUGGCUCAGCAUUCUCAUUGCCUCAUUCUCCUCAGUUCCUAAUCCCUUCUUAAAAAUCAAAGCUCUGGGAAAAACAAGCCAAUACAUAGAGCUCUCAAAUGUAUCCCUCAAUAGAGUGUCAUAAAAUACUUUAAUAUAGUAUUUACUUAAAAUUUAUGCCCCUUGAGUCACAGAAAACACAUUCUCAUAUCCUUUCUCUUAUUUUUAUUUAUUUAUUUUUUUUUCCUUUCUAAAUGCCAUUAAGAUGAAAUGAGAGGGACGCCUGGGUGGUUCAGUCGGUUGAGCGCCCAUCUUAGGCUUGGGUCAUGAUCUCACAGUUCAUGGGUUCGAGCCCCGCAUUGGGCUCUGUGCUUACAGCUCAGAGCCUGGAGCCUGCUUCCGAUUCUGUGUCUCCCUCUCUCUGUGCCCCUCCUCUGCUCACAUUCUGUCUUUCUCUCUCUCUCUCAAAAAUAAACAUUAAAAAAUUUAAAAAAAAGAUGAAAUGAGAAUAUGGGGUAGAAUUCCAGGCCUUUCCUUGUUCCCAAUUCCAGAGGUGCCAUAUAUAAAUACCCCCUUCCAAAUUUACCCCUUAUAUCUUUUCACAAGUGUAAUUACAAGGAGAAAUUUUUUUAUUUUAUUCUCAAAGGGAGAUUGAAACUCUAGAAGAGUUAUAACUACAAACAUGUAAGAGUAUGUUUUUAAGUAAAUGAAUUUCAUUGGUUCUCUCCUUAUAUUUCUUAAAAUUUGAAAAUACUAAAAAAAGGUCUACCAUAUUCUGACAUUAAAAAUAAAAUUCUAUGAAAGGAAGAAGUCAAAAAGCUGUUCUCAUAUCCCCUGCCCUUAAGGCAAAUAUCAAGAGCUUGAUAUUUGUUCUUCCCAACUUUCCUUUAUGCUUAUUCUGAAAUAUGUAUGUACUUACAAAAUAUCAGGCUACACAUAUCAGAUUAAACUUGACUGUUCCAUUUAAAAAUGUCUGCCUCCUAGGUCAUUAUGUGUAUACCUAUUUACGAUUGCUGAAUAUUAGCAACUUUUUUAAUAUUGGCAAAUUUUUUGCCAGCUUGGUAGGUGGAGAAUUUUACUUGGCAUUUUGAAAAAUUACCUAUGAGUUUAAUGUUGCUUAUAUUUCAAAAUAUCUUAAUCUACUAAUAUAAAACAUACUCAGAAUUCAGAUAUUUCUCAGAAACCCUACAGCGGAGAAUUGCUAAGAAGUUUUUCUUGAGCAACUGUUGAUUUUUUUCUAUUUUUAAUUUAUUUGGAUUGCACACAGAUUAUGAAAUUUAUAAGCCUAUCUUCUCGAUCUAACUGUGCAUAUUUUUUUUUUUUGCUGAGAGGAAGAUAUUCAAAAGAAAAACCAUAAUUAUUAUUAAAUUAUACAUUUAUUUUGAUAUUAUAACAAUCAAACAGUAGAUAAAUUAAAAAGUCCUCAUCCUUCCCGCAUACCACUUCCCAGAGGCAGUUGCUGUGAACAGCUUGGUGUUUAUUCUUUUUUUUAAUUUUUUAAAAAUGUUUUUAAAAAAUGUUUUAUUUAUUUUUGAGACAGAGAGAGACAGAGCAUGAACAGGGGAGGGGCAGAGAGAGAGGGAGACACAGAAUCCGAAGCAGGCUCCAGGCUCUGAGCUGUCAGCACAGAGCCCGACAUGGGGCUCAAAUCCAUGAACCGUGAGAUCAUGACCUGAGCUGAAGUCAGGACGCUUAACCGACUGAGCCACCCAUGCGCCCCUUGGUGUUUAUUCUUAUGAGCAUUUUCUAUGCAUAGACCUAUAUUUAUAGCUCAUUUAAACUGUGUCUGUAAGCUCCAUUGGUAUCUGACUCUAAUUACAUAUAUCUCAGACACCAGCUUAUUUCUUCCUCUUUAACAGCUAUAUAACAUUUCACUGUAUAAACAUGCUGCAAUUUUUAAAUCAUUUAUUUGUGUUGAUAGAAAUUUAGGUAAUUCCAGCUUUCAUGUUUAUAUAAGAUAUUUCUUUGCAAACAUAUAGGAAUAGAUCUUUACAGUAAAUCUGUAAAGUGGAACUUUUUGGUCAAAAUGUGUACACCCACUGAAAAGUUAGUAGAUGUGUCCUCCAAAAAGUUUAUAUCAAUUCAUAUCCUUACCAGCGUACAUCAGGCUGGUUUCCCCUUUCCAAACCCUAACGUAAUGAUGUCAUUCAUUACUCAAUCUGAGGGUAGAAAAGAAAUUCUAUCUUAAAAAAAAACACACAGAUUAAAAAUUCUAAAUAUGGUUCAUCAUCAUUGAAUAUACUACUGGACAUUUAUCAUUUGAACAAUGUUCUUUCAUUUCCCAAGAGAUAUACUCAGUAUGUGACCAUUAAAAUGGCUCUAAGUUUCUAAAACCUAAAAGUUUUCUCUGUGGAGCAGUACACAAAUGAUCAGAGGCAUGGAAAAUGGACCAUACUAACUAAAGAUCCUUUAAACCUGUAACCCAGCUUGUUUUAGAAGAAGCAAAACGUAUUUUUACUAGAAAUUAAUAUUUCAAAAUAUAUCAAUAUAUAUUCUAAAACCCAAGUACCAUGGUCAUCAGGUGUCCUGAAGAGUCCAAUGUGUCAGAUAUAGCUAAUUAAGGCCAAAAUUAGCUCUCUUAAACCUUGAAAUUUUAUAGCUAUUGAAAACAGACAAGGGCUUUUCAAACCUUAAAGUGCUAAUGCAUCAACUGACAUCUUGUUCAAAUGCAGAUUUUGAAUUCUAGGGUGGGGCCCGGGAUUUUGCAUUUCUGUGCCACUGCUGCUGGUCUGAAGACCACACUACUGAGUCAGAAGGCUUUAGACCUCAACGAGUUUAGCUCAUUUUAUAAACAGAAAAAAUGGUUAAUAUACCCUGAUACCCACUUUUUUUAACUUAAAAAAACACACAGAAUUUCCUUAAGUGUUUUAAGCUAACGAACAUCCUAUUUGUGUGACAUAAAUAAUAUGUGAACAGACUUAUGAAUAAUACAACAUCUGUAGCUCUUAGAAAAGAAAACAGUUAAUUAGGGAUCACAUGAAUUAUGUAAUAAUUUUUAACGUUUAAUGUUUUGUUCUUUCUAGGUCAUUCAAGCUGCUAUCUACACAUGAAUAACAAAGAAAUGCUCAUAAACAAGCAGAAAUACCCAGGAGGCAUGAAGAGUUAUAAUACUUCAAAAAUGUGUGUCUUGUGACAGCACAGCCACAGAAACGGUAGAUUUUAGAACUCUAAAAAGUCAACCUUGAAGAGAUAAAAAUGCUAUCCGACAACACAGUACUGAAACUUAACGAAAUGCCUCUGGAGCUUGAAAUACCUAGAGCUGCCAAAAUAUUCAAGAAUGAAAUUGAAAAAUGUUUCUUCAAAACGCCUUAGCUAACCAAACGUGAGCAUAUUUGCCAUCAUGGCAAAAGUGACUACUGCUUUUGCUGGUCUCAGCCUGGGCCAGGUGGGGCAUCCUUCACUGACUGACUGAAGACAGUGUGAAGGCCAUGCUUCCUUCUACUCUGACCAGAUGUGAUUUGUCUCUCCACCAUAACAUCCUGUCAAUAACCGUACUUGCCACACAUCACAUUCUCUGUUUUACGUGCUUCAGUUACUUGUAGUUUUUCCUAUUUCAUCCUUAGAUUAUUCUCUUUAAGUUUA